UAUGAGUUUGAUUCCUGGCUCAGGAUGAACGCCGGCGGCGUGCCUAAUACAUGCAAGUCGAGCGAAUGGAUUAAGAGCUUGCUCUUAUGAAGUUAGCGGCGGAUGGGUGUGUCACAUGUGGGUAUCCCCCCCAUAAGAUUGGGAUAACUAGGGGAACCGGGGAUAAUACCGCAUCACAUUUUGAACCGCAUGGUUCGAAAUUGAAAGGCGGCUUCGGCUGUCACUAGUCGAUGGACCCGCGUCGCAUUAGCUAGUUGGUGAGGUAACGGCUCACCAAGGCAACGAUGCGUAGCCGACCUGAGCGGGCGAUCGGACACAAUGGGGGUGAGACACGAUCCAGUCUCCCACGGGAGGCAGCAGUAGGGAAUCCUCCGCAAUGGACGAAAGUCGGAGGGCACAUCGCCGCGGGAGUGAUGAAGGCUUGCGGGUCCCAAAACUCUGUUGUUAGUCAAGAACAAUUGCUAGUGGAAUCCCAUGGCACCUUGACGGUACCUAACCAAAAAGCCCGGGCGAAGUGCGUCCCAGCCCCACCGGUAAUACGUAGGUGGCAAGCGUUACCUGGACCUCUUGGGCGUAAAGCCCGCGCAGGUGGUUUCUUAAGUUUGAUGUGAAAGCCCACGGCUCAACCUUGGAGGGUCAUUGGAAACUGGGAGACUUGAGUGCAGAAGAGGAAAGUGGAAUUCCAUGUGUAGCGGUGAAUUGCGUAGAGAUAUGGAGGAACACCAGUGGCGAAGGCGACUUUCUGGUCUGUAACUGACACUGAGGCGCGAAAGCGUGGGGAGCAAACAGGAUUAGAUACCCUGGUAGUCCACGCCGUAAACGAUGAGUGCUAAGUGUUAGAGGGUUUCCGCCCUUUAGUGCUGAAGUUAACGCAUUAAGCACUCCGCCUGGGGAGUACGGCCGCAAGGCUGAAACUCAAAGGAAUUGACGGGGGCCCGCACAAGCGGUGGAGCAUGUGGUUUAAUUCGAAGCAACGCGAAGAACCUUACCAGGUCUUGACAUCCUCUGACAACCCUAAAGAUAGGGCUUCUCCUUCGGGAGCAAAGUGACAGGUGGUGCAAGGUUGUCGUCAGCUCUUGUCAUGAGGAUGUUGGGUUUAAGUCCCGCAACGACCGCACCCCUUUGAUCUUAGUUGCCCAUCAUUAACUUGGGCCACUCCUAAGGUGACUGGCCCGGUAACAAACCGGAAGAAGGUUGGGGGAUGACUCCAAAUCAUCAUGCCCCUUAAGACCUUGGCUCCACCCUUGCUACAAUGGACGGGAACAAAAAACUUGCAGACCCCCCCGGGGAAUUAAUUUCAAAAAACCGUUUCGGUUCCGAAUUGAAGCUGAAUUUCCCUAGCUUGAAUUUGAUUCCUUAGUAUCCCAAACCACUAGCCCGGGAAAACGUUCCCGGGCUUGUAACCCCCGCCGCCCCCCCCGAGGUUUCCAACCCCCCAACCCGGGGGGAAACUUUGAACCACCCCCCUAGGGGGAAAAUAUUGGGGUAACCCAAUAGGGACCCAAAAAGAAGUCCUUUUCUGUUCGACUGGACCCCACUUCACAUACCCUACGGGAGCGCGGGGUUUCUCUAAACCAGAAACACACAAAGCGGUUACCC
rnacentral:rRNA from 1 species